UUAUCUUUACAGUGCACACAUUUGUACAAACACAAGCAUCCAAUCACCAUCGUUCAUCUUCUUGUCAUCCAACAAAAACAUUAUUCUUGCUUGAAACACGAACUCACAUUUCUCAAUCUCUCAAACUUUCAUUCGGGACUUUCACUCGAUGAAGUCGAAUUUUUCUUCCUAACAUUCAACAAGAUUGUUUUCUAGAAUAAUUUCGACUGCGGCAAGAAAGCCAUCGAUCAGAGCAAGAAAGAAUAAAAAAAAGAAAGGGAAAACUGAUAUUAACUCGUAUUUUAUAGAACAAUUUCGACAAGCCAUUGAUCAAGAGUGGAGAAGAAUCUGAACGGAGAAAGGGAAGAAAAGAAGAAGUUACCAGCGGGUGUGGAGAUGGCAAUGAAGGAGAAAACGGCGCAGAGCAACAUCGAUGCGAAGCCCAUCCAUCGCCUGCCCCAUCUGUCGAG